GCCCGCUGAGCUCCUUCAAGCGACCAGCUCAGCACGCACCUCGCCAGGUCAGGGUCUCUGAGAGACUCAGGGUUUUCCCUUUAAGGGUCGGGGGUGCUGUAGGAAGAGCUCGGCGUGCAGGACGAACCACCUGCUCCAGUUUCUGGUCUGGAGGUUUGGGGUGCGGCCCUGAGGGAGGGCUCCCUGCUUACAGUCCCAGACCAUCCGAGAAUCAUUUGGCCUCGGGGCGCUGAUGGGGAAGAUGGGAAGAAAUGGACUCAGAUUUGAGCCAAGAAAGACGGACAGGAAAGAAAGAAUACGAAAGGAAAACGCACGCCACUGCGUGCCCAAGAGCCUUGGGAUAAAUGAAAUCAGACAAUUGUAUUAUUGAAAAGUCGGAGUAAUGAAGAUUUGGGGAGGAGCGCCUGGCACCUGUAUAAAUGUCUGCUGAAUGAACGACAGAGUGGUAGACAGAAUCAGAGAGCGGAGGCUCCUCUUGAAGCGAACGGGGCAGAAAGGAGUUAGAAGGGAAUUUCACAGCGUCCUCUGAACCCGGCCUGCGGAUAGCCGGAGGGAAGAUAGGGGCGGUAUUUCGAGGCUGGGUUCGGUGCGAGCUAGGAGAGUGGUUCCACGGAAGGGGCGUGGCCUCAGGGCCAUUAAUCCAGUCCCAGUUUCAUUUUGCUACUCCUCAGUCUAAACGGCUGGGCGCGGCCAGUGCGCCUGCUGAGCCUGGUGAGUUCGUUGCCGCGGUGAUGGGCUUGGUGGAGGCUUUCCAGGGGUGAAGAGGCGGGGCGCUGCUGUAGUCGCCAUGGUGAUAGCAGCCGAGGACAGUUUCUGUGCGGAGUGCCUUGGGGACGCGGGAUACCGGUGGGGGUAAGCAGCCGAGUGACGAAACAAAGGAGGUGGGGCCUGAGGAGAGAAUGCUACAGUCAGGGCUAUGGGCGGGGCAAACAAGGGGGCGGGGAGCCAAGUUCUGUUCGCUGAGCAGCUAGACCAGGCGGUCUGGAGUGGAACUAGACAGCAGCGAUCUUUAACCCGCAUAUAAAUGAAUGAAAGAAAAAAAAAAAAAAAAAAAGACUUGGUUCCUGAGGGAGUUGGGAUGGCUUGUUGGAUGGAUGAAUGAACGGAUAAGUACCUGGCCCUCACUCACUUGUGACAGCUGGGAGGGAAACACCUGACCCUCUCGGGGGAGUCGAGCAAAUCCUCAGCCCAAUCACCAAGCCCUGAGCCUACUCCCGCAACUCACACUGAAAGCAGCGCAGGGCGAGCCCGGGCCCAGCCCAGGGCCCACCUCUCCUUCCCAGGUUUCCUGCCCAGGUGUUAAUCCUUCUUUGCCCCAGCCUCCAUCCUCUCUCCCCGUGUACCCAGCUCCUCGGGGGCGCCUGGGCGUCCAGACCUUGCCUGGUGCCCAGUAAGGCAAGGUCCAGAGUUCCAGCAGAUGUGGGGUCUGCAUCUCGGCUGUUCUUCUCCUGGGACUGUUGGAACCCUGCUAUAUAGGGAGGCUAACUGUCCUGGUGGAUCUUGGAAGGUGAAGUUCAGAACCAUCCAGCUGGAUCUACAGCUUCAUGCUCCACACUCCCCACCCUGUUUGCCCCCUGGGAUGGGACAGAGGAACAGAGUGCCAGUAUCAACUCUCCAGUGUUUGCUAAAGGUGGAGCAUUCUGGAGCUGUGGCCACCUCUUCUCUUUUGACCCCAAUUAUCAGGUAUAUCACCUGACAAGUCUCAGAUCACCCUUCCAGUGGAGACUCAGUAUGCCCCCACUGAAGGAGCUGGUGAGCUGGUGAGGGCAGACAGCCUCUGCCCAGAGACUGAGGAGGAGCUUCAUGCCCUGGGGUUCCAGGAGACACUGAUAUUAGCCAGAAGCUAUCUAGGAUAUCAGAACAUUGUUGCUUGCCCACGUUGAGCUUGUUCAAAACAGAGGGCCAAGGAGGGUAACCCUGGGAGCGUUUCAGCUAAAAGAGGUUUCCCAAGAAGAAGGUGGCCAGGCAACAAACUGACAGGUGGGAGGAAAACUCAUUCUGUUCCAUGAAGUCUGAGGAUUGGAAAUAGGACAGAAGUUACAGGAAGCCAAUUUCCUUGGGUUCACCUUAGGGAUUUUCUUCUAAUAGCGUCCAGAAAGGUGAAGUGUGGCUCUGGGAAGCCUCAGUCCCUGGCAGGCCCUGUCACUGAACUGCAACAGAUGCGUGAAAGCGACAAAGGCACGGUGAAGAGGUGUGUAGGGUUUGCCGCAGAAGACAUGGGGAGUGGGCUGUUCCUCACUCCCCCUUGGAACAGCAAGAGCUGAGUAAGGAAAACUGGUGAUACUUAAGGUGAAGCCAUGAAGGUUGGAGCUGGAAAUCUGUAGAAGAGCCAAGUAGGGGAAAUCAGGUACUAGAAAACACUUUGUAAGUGAAAGCUCUGGAGCUCUUAGCAAAGAGGGGGCAACCGUGAGCUCCUACAGUGGCUGCAGGGUUAUGCAGGAAGGACUGGGGCGCAGGCUAGGGAGGCUGCACGUGUGAUACUACUAGACACACUAGCCAGUGGGGAGGCUUGGGGACCCACUGCAUGAGGAUAGCUCAGGUUGGGGGCUGGAGGCCUGGGAGAACAGCAGGGAUGGGGAGGGUUAAGUUGGCCGGCUGGAGUCAGGUUCCCCAAAGCCCGGCUCUUUGCAGCUUCAGCUGUCACCACUACUGGCCCCAAGCUCCUGGACACUUGGAAAGUCACACAAUUAGCCAGCCUGUAGAAAAAAUACCUUUUUAUUAAUUAUUAGGAAUCAUCCAUUCACUGAAUGCGGGGUAUAUGUUGGGGAAGGUUAGGUACUGCCAGAUGGAUGAGGGGAAACGUGCAAUAGGGCAGUGAAAAGGGGGACAGCCCCCCACUUUCCACAAACUAUAAAUAGCAAUGU